rnacentral:rRNA from 1 species
AAGAGAUGGCGACCGGCGCACGGGUGAGUAACACGUAUCCAACCUGCCGAUAACUCCGGAAUAGCCUUUCGAAAGAAAGAUUAAUACCGGAUGGCAUACGAAUAUCGCAUGAUAUUUUUAUUAAAGAAUUUCGGUUAUCGAUGGGGAUGCGUUCCAUUAGUUUGUUGGCGGGGUAACGGCCCACCGAGACUACGAUGGAUAGGGGUUCUGAGAGGAAGGUCCCCCACAUUGGAACUGAGACACGGUCCAA